rnacentral:lncRNA from 1 species
GGAUAACCCUGAUUUCCAUAUGCAGAUUUAUCUGCACUGACAGCCCCCUCUCCCUCUCUUAGUCUUUCUGUUUCCUCUCUCCCUCCCUCUCUCUCCCUCUUUCUCUUCCCCUCUCUUUCUCUUCCUCUCUGUCUUUUUGUCUCUCUUUAUGUCUAUUGCAUUAUGCUUGAAUAAUUUUCAGCUGGGGUUUUUUUUUUCUCUCCUCUUGCACAUGCUAAAAUAACUAGACAAAGAUGCAAGGUGGUUGCUGCAGUCCCUGUCUCUAGGACAAAACCAAGAAAGCUCGGGUUUGCAAUGCCACCUUUCCUUUUUUUUUUUUUUUCUUUCUUUUUUUUUUCCCCCACCCAUGCUCGGUGAUUAAACUUACCCAGGAUGGGGAAGAAAAAGGAGCUGGAAAUGAGAUAAGGUUAAGGAAAAAGCCCAUUGCAGCAGCUGCAGCCAGUGGUGUCUGCUGCCAGAUGUGCUAAGGUUCCUGGGGUCCUUGACACUAAAAGGCAGUAUUAAAAUAUUUGGAGACAAAAGCUGCAUCUUCAGUGCUCAUUUUCUUUAUUUAACAUGGCAGCAAGCACCGUGUGGGGGAAAAUCAACACGCUGGAUGUUGAAUUGGACUUUUCUCCGUUCUAGGAUGAAAGGAUGUUAUCUAUCCCGUGCCAAGAGGGAACUAAGGUGCAGGGGGAGGGGAAGAAAGUCUUCCAAACUAGCCCGCCAUGAGCAAUGAACAUAUGGCUGUUACUAUCAGCACUAGUGUAUUUGCGGCGAUGCCUAUCAACAUCCACCAGAGAGCAGGGCAGCUCCAAAACCCACAUCUUUUAUGCUGUGGAAAUUGAUGGAGACAGCAACACAGCCAGCUUCUUGGCCAAACAACAUGGAAUGCAGUUCAUUUCAAAGGUGAAACGGGUGAAUAUCAGACAGCUCAUUAUAGAGACAAGCAUGCUGCAUUCCCCGAGUAGGAUGACAGAACAAGUCAUGAUCUUGUGCAGAAGGAAAAUGACAUCCCUAGUGAAGCCUACAAUGUCAUUGACUCUGAAGAAGGACUCAGAGACCCAUUGGUGUUUAAUGACCCUUAUUGGCCUGCACAAAAGAAACUGGGAUCUGGGAAACAUCCUGCCUCCCCUAGGCCCAGGGGCCGUGGAAGAGCAGCAUCACCAGUGUCCAUGGGCAGGAUGAACAAACUGGCUGUGCUCCUUGCAGUUGCUCCUACUGCUGAAGAGGAAACUGUAUCUGAGCUUUUUCACUCGCUCUCUGGUCCCUGUGCUGAAGCUGCUUCAAACAGCUGUCUGUGUAUGUGCUCCACAAUUUGGGCACUAUUUUUGGAGUCUUAUGUGCCUUGGAAUGAAAUGUCCCUGUUCUGCUCAGCUCCCAAAGGCAUUCCCAUUGAGAGCAAAAGAGAUGUCACCUGUGGGCCCUCCUGCCUUUUGCUGAGGAAUCAAAGUCAACCACCUCCUGCAACAGCCCAUGGGGCAGGUAUGCCAUCAUUCCCCGUGCACUGUCAGGUACCAGCACCCAACAAAUAUGACUCCAACACAGCCAGAUGACAGGGUCUGCAGAGGUCUUCUGAUCUGAAUGGGAGAGUGCAUUUUACUUCAUCUGUAUGUGCUUGGAGAAUAACACAUCAAAAUUCUUCUUGAAAAGUAUGGCCAAGUUAGGUCUGUCCACGGUUCCCCACUAUGCUCUUUCCAGUGUAUGGAUCAACAUCAAAUGCAUUGUAGUUUUGGCAAAUAAUUUCUCCCACUCUUCCCUUUCUCUUCCCCCUCCCCUCCCAGCUGACACACAGUGACUAUAGGGGGCAAUGCAACCUCAUCAUACAGCCUGUGUACAUCAGCUACAUACCACAUUAAUAGGCGGAAACUUUAAAGUCUUCGUUUUUACUUCUUGCUUUUGAGCAAUUUGUACCAUGGUAAGCUGUAUUGUUAUUUGGGCCCCAUAAAAUGAGACAUUUUAACUUCAGAUAAGCUUUUACCAGUUACAUUUUUUUGAUUGUUUGUAAAUGAAAGUUAAUAAAGAGUGAUUUCAUUUCA